rnacentral:rRNA from 1 species
UACGUAGGGUGCGAGCGUUAAUCGGAAUUACUGGGCGUAAAGCGUGCGCAGGCGGUGAUGUAAGACAGGCGUGAAAUCCCCGGGCUUAACCUGGGAACUGCAUUUGUGACUGCAUCGCUGGAGUGCGGCAGAGGGGGAUGGAAUUCCGCGUGUAGCAGUGAAAUGCGUAGAUAUGCGGAGGAACACCGGUGGCGAAGGCAAUCCCCUGGGCCUGCACUGACGCUCAUGCACGAAAGCGUGGGGAGCAAACAGG